AGAGUCGCCGCUGAGGCUGACGGGCCGGGGGAGACGGCCUGGCCGCUGGCGUCUGCACCAUGGCGACGGGAGGCCGCGGGCCUGUGGUUGCGAUGGCCGCUGGGUCCACCCUGUCGUCUGCGAGUGUGACUCUGUUCCUCUUGCAGGUCCUCCCUCGCUUCUCACAAGCUCAGACCUUCUUUUUCCCUUUCCGGCAGCCGGAGACGUGCGGCCACAACCAGUACUUCGAUAUCUCGGCGCUCUCCUGUGUGGCGUGUGGCUCCAAUCAGAGGCAGGAUGCCCGAGGAACUUCAUGUGUGUGUCUACCAGGAUUUCAGAUGAUUUCUAAUAAUGGAGGACCUGAUAUUACUUGUAAAAAGUGCCCAGAACACAUGAAAGGUGUUACUGAAGAUGGCUGGAACUGUAUUUCUUGCCCUAGUGGUUUAACUGCAGAAGGAAAAUGCCACUGUCCCACUGGCCAUAUUUUAGUGGAAAGAAAUGUUAAUGGAACAUUGUUGUCUCAAGCAACUUGUGAGCUCUGUGAUGAAAGUGAAAACUCUUUUACGGUAGCAAAUGCUUUAGGAAACAGGUGUGUCCGGUGUGAACCAAUGUUCAUUAAUACCAGCAAGUCCUGUGCAUGUUCAGAACCUAACAUUUUAACAGGGGGAUUGUGUUUCAGCAGCACAAGGAGUUUUCCUCUACGUAUGAUUUCAACUGCACGUUACGGAGAGCUUGGCAUAUCUUUCACUUCAGAAUGGUUUGCAAAGUAUUUGCAGUCAUCAGCAGCUGCUUGUUGGGUGUAUGGCAAUCUAACAUCUUGCCAAGCUCUCGGAAAUAUGUGUGUAAUGAACAUGAACUAUUAUGACUCCUCUACUUUUGAUGCAUGUGGAUUGUUUCAGGUUAUCUUUGAAAAUACUGCUGCACUGGGCACUGUUCAUUCUGUUUCCUUUUGGAGACAGAAUCUUCCAUGGCUGUUCUAUGGAGACCAGCUAGGAUUAGCACCUCAAAUAAUUAGUACUACACCUCUUCCUACAAAUUUCAGUUUUAAAGGGGAAAACCAGCAGAGUACAAAACUGAAGUUUGUGGCUGCUUCCUAUGAUGUGAGAGGAAAUUUUCUCAAGUGGCAAACUUUAGAAGGAGGAAUUUUACAGCUUUGUCCAGACACAGAGACGAGACUAAAUGCUGCUUAUUCCUUUGGAACAACUUAUCAACAAAGUUGUGAGAUUCCUGUCCCUAAGAUCUUAACUGACUUUCCCACUCCUACAUUUUAUGAUGUGUACCUUGAAUAUACUGAUGAGAAUCAACACCAAUAUAUUUGGGCUGUGCCUGUGUUAAACUUAAAUCUUCAGCACAAGAAAAUGUUUGUGAACCAAGACAGUAGUUCUGGCAAGUGGCUUCUGACUCGACGCAUUUUCUUAGUGGAUACACUAAGUGGACGGGAAAAUGACUUAGGAAGCCAGCCAAGAUUAAUUAGAGUCGCCACCCAAAUAUCACUGAGCAUCCACCUUGUACCCAGCACGAAAAAUGGAAACAUUUACCCUCCCUUAAUUACCAUUGCCUACCGUGACAUUGAUAUCAAAGAUCCCAACAGCCAGUCUGUGAAGGUUUCUUUCUCAGUCACAUACGAAAUGGAUCAAGGAGAAGCACAAGUCCAGACAGAUAUUGCUUUAGGUGUGUUGGGUGGACUAGCUGUUUUAUCAUCUCUUUUGAAGACAGCAGGUUGGAAGAGACGCAUUGGGAGUCCCAUGAUUGAUUUACAGACAGUUACGAAAUUCUUGUUUUACUAUGCUGGUGAUCUGGCCAAUGUUUUCUUUAUCAUCACUGUAGGAACAGGUCUUUACUGGCUUAUUUUCUUUAAAGCACAGAAGUCUGUCUCUGUUUUGCUACCAGUGCCAGCUCAAGAAGAACGUUUUGUUACUUAUGUGCGAUGUGGUUUUGCUCUGAAGGCUCUGCAAUUUUUGCAUAAGCUCAUCUCCCAGAUUACCAUAGACAUAUUCUUUAUCGAUUGGGAGCGGCCUAAAGGAAAGGUUCUUAAAGCUGUUGAAGGUGAGGGUGGUGUUCGGAGUGCUACUGUUCCUGUAAGCAUAUGGAGAACUUAUUUUGUGGCAAAUGAAUGGAAUGAAAUUCAGACUGUGAGAAAAAUUAACCCACUCUUUCAAGUACUUACUGUCCUCUUCCUUUUGGAGGUUGUAGGAUUCAAGAACUUAGCAUUAAUGGACUCAUCCUCUAGUCUUUCCAGAAGCCCACCUAGCUACAUAGCUCCUUACAGCCGCAUUUUGAGAUAUGCGGUGUCUUCUGCUCUUUGGCUGGUCAUUGGACUUAUACAGAUUGUGUUCUUUGCUGUCUUCUAUGAGAGAUUUAUAGAAGAUAAAAUUCGACAGUUUGUUGAUUUGUGCUGUAUGAGUAAUAUAUCAGUGUUUCUGUUAUCCCACAGAUGUUUUGGCUACUACAUCCAUGGUAGAUCAGUACAUGGGCAUGCUGAUACUAAUAUGGAAGAAAUGAAUAUGAAUCUUAAAAGAGAAGCGGAAAAUUUAUGUAGCCAAAGAGGUUUGGUACCUAAUACAGAUGGUCAGACUUUUCAGAUUGCAAUUUCUAGCCAGAUGAGGCAACACUAUGACAGAAUUCAUGAGACACUAACAAGGAAAAAUGGCCCUGCUAGACUAUUGAGUUCCUCAGGAAGUACUUUUGAGCAGAGUGUAAAAGCAUAUCAUACUAUGAAUAAAUUUCUUGGCUCUUUCAUCGAUCAUGUUCAUAAGGAAAUGGACUACUUUAUAAAAGAUAAAUUGCUUCUUGAAAGAAUUCUUGGAAUGGAAUUCAUGGAACCAAUGGAAAAAAGCAUCUUUUACAAUGAUGAAGGAUAUUCUUUCAGCAGUGUUCUGUAUUAUGGAAAUGAAGCUACUCUUCUUAUUUAUGAUCUGAUGUUCUUCUGUGUUGUGGAUUUGGCUUGCCAAAAUUUUAUUUUAGCAGCCUUCCUUACAUACCUACAGCAAGAGAUGCCAGCAUUGAGCAGAAUUAGAAUCGCAUUUACCAUCUGCACCAGAUGUUACCAUUACAAAAAGGCAAACUCUGAGAUCUAGCUCAGGGGUCAGCCAGUGUAACUUUCAAUUCACACAUCACCUGCCUGCUUGGAUGAAAAACAGCUGCGUGGAUCAGUGUGGAACCUGAAACGGAGACUUCAAGAAAAGCCAAGUUUGUUCUAGAAAUAUUUUUAGAUUUAUUCGUAAUGCAGUAGGACAGAAGAAUUUGGCAUCCAAAACACUGGUGGAUCAAAGAUUCCUGAUUUAAUUUAUUGAAUAGAUAAAGACAAUUAUAAUCAUGGCAAAAAAAAGGUCAUGAUUAUCAAGUUAGUUUGCCGUAUUUUUUAAAACUUGUAAUACAAAAUUAUUCUAUUUUUAUUUGUUUUUUAAUCUACAGGAAGAUUUAUUUUUAAAACUCAUAGAAACAUAAACUUGCUUUGUGAAUAUGUAAUAUGAUACAAUGAAAAAUAUUGUUUUCCUGUUAUGCAUGGUAUUUAAUUUACCAGCUCGUAAACUAGAUAGCUCUGACAAUGGGACCAAAAAAAAAAAGUCUAAAUUGCUUUCAGCAUAACAUUUUUUAAAUGAUAAUCAAAACAGUCCCUAUCAUUUGUGUCUGUAAGAUUAUUUUAUAACCAGAUUUGUGUAUAUUUUCUCACAUUGAAAAAAAAAUUGAUUCCAGUUCAAGCCUAGUUUUCAGUUCAUUUUGUUUUACAUAUUUUAUGGUUUAAUAAAUGAAAAUAUUUUCACGUUUACUUAGAUAUUUGAAAUUGUAUGUGGGCUGACUCAGUUGCUCACUCUGGCAGUGAACUGAUUCACUAUUGGAUUAAUAGGCAGUUUGUGAAAUGGUACAUUCUCAUUCCUUUGUUUCCCUGCAUUAUUAGGUCAAUAUGCUGUUUCCAUGAAGUAUAUUUAUAUCUAUAAUAUAUAAAUAUCAUUUAUAUUAUUGAGCUGUAAUAUGUGACAUUUCCCCCAAGAUAGUUUUUUAUAUAUUUUAAUUACUCAACAUUCUAAAAGCACUUCCAAACUUUUGCUCUUUAAUUGUGUUUAAAGAUUAUAAAUAACAGAUGAACUGUAAGUUAUCAUGUUAUGUGAAAGUGGUUUAUUGAAAGCAAACUUAGGCCUGAGCUAUGUAGCCAAUAAUUCUCUGAUAUCAUUUUUUUUUUCAAAAUACUCUUUAAUAAUCCUUUUCAUUGUAUACUAUGAACUUAAAAGUCACCUUAUUCAAAUAUAAUGGUCAUUAAUGCCCAAAGCAACAUUUCUUUCUGCCUUCUGGUUAAUGCUGUGUAAAUACUUAAAUGUAUUGCUAUGUAAAUAUUGUUUAUAUUAUUAAAUUGAAAAUAUAGAAUAAAGCAUUUAGUGUUUCUCUUU